rnacentral:rRNA from 1 species
UACGGAGGGGGCUAGCGUUGUUCGGAAUUACUGGGCGUAAAGGGUGCGUAGGUGGUGAUGCAAGUCUGGUGUGAAAUCUCGGAGCUCAACUCCGAAAUUGCACCGGAUACUGCGUGACUCGAGGACUGUAGAGGAGAUCGGAAUUCACGGUGUAGCAGUGAAAUGCGUAGAUAUCGUGAGGAAGACCAGUUGCGAAGGCGGAUCUCUGGGCAGUUCCUGACACUGAGGCACGAAGGCCAGGGGAGCAAACGGG